GACGAACGCUGGCGGCGUGCUUAACACAUGCAAGUCGAGCGGAAAGGCUCCUUCGGGGGUACUCGAGUGGCGAACGGGUGAGUAACACGUGAGUAAUCUGCCCUCCACUUCGGGAUAGCCACCGGAAACGGUGAUUAAUACCGGAUAUGACCGCUUCUCGCAUGGGAUGGUGGUGGAAAGUUUUUCGGUGGGGGGUGUGCUCGCGGCCUAUCAGCUUGUUGGUGGGGUAAUGGCCUACCAAGGCUUCGACGGGUAGCCGGCCUGAGAGGGUGACCGGUCACACUGGGACUGAGACACGGCCCAGACUCCUACGGGAGGCAGCAGUGGGGAAUAUUGGACAAUGGGCGGAAGCCUGAUCCAGCAACGCCGCGUGAGGGAUGACUGCCUUCGGGUUGUAAACCUCUUUCACCUAUGACGAAGCGAAAGUGACGGUAGUAGGAGAAGAAGCACCGGCCAACUACGUGCCAGCAGCCGCCGUAAAAC
rnacentral:rRNA from 1 species